CCAACCCGGAUAUCCUAGGAGUCGCUCUCCCCCGAUAUGUCCAUGGUGGGAGAGAGGAGCAUAGGCCUCUGCUUCGUGAUGUACAGUCUCUUCCACCCCACUGGAGAUCAAGCUGGGCCCGGAGUCUGUGCCUGCAUGAUCCUACAGCCUUCUCAGAGUCCUCUGGAUGAUGACCAAGGAGAGAAACCAUGAAGGAAACCAAU